rnacentral:rRNA from 1 species
CCUACGGGAGGCAGCAGUGAGGAAUAUUGGUCAAUGGACGAGAGUCUGAACCAGCCAAGUAGCGUGAAGGAUGACUGCCCUAUGGGUUGUAAACUUCUUUUAUAAAGGAAUAAAACGAGGCACGUGUGCCUUUUUGCAUGUACUUUAUGAAUAAGGAUCGGCUAACUCCGUGCCAGCAGCCGCGGUAAUACGGAGGAUCCGAGCGUUAUCCGGAUUUAUUGGGUUUAAAGGGUGCGUAGAUGGGUUGUUAAGUCAGUUGUGAAAGUUUGCGGCUCAACCGUAAAAUUGCAAUUGAUACUGGCAGUCUUGAGUACAGUUGGGGUAGGCGGAAUUCGUGGUGUAGCAGUGAAAUGCUUAGAUAUCACGAAGAACCCCGAUUGCGAAGGCAGCUUACUAAACUGUGACUGACAUUGAUGCUCGAAAGUGUGGGUAUCAAACAGGAUUAGAUACCCGAGUAGUC